AGCAAGAUGUGGUUUCAUGUGGUGUGUUUGCGCUUAAAUUUGCAGAGUGCAUACUGGAAAACAAGGACCUGAACUUUCCAUCAGCAGCAGAAGCUGUUAAUACCAUGCGACUCAACAUUUCUUCCACACUUCUCUCAGAAUCAGAGUCAGUGGAGACUCUGCAGACACUGUGGCAGUGAGGACACAGAAGAUCACAUGUGGGUAAGACAACAAUGUAAUGCAGUGAAAAAUCAAUUCAAGCAAACCGUAUACCAUCCUUAAAAUAGUUGCAAAGUAUUUAGAUAUACAAAAAUAAAUCAUAAUAAAAUAAAUAAACACCCAAGGCAGGUAAGUGGGAAGUAGCUUAAGUUUUUUUUUUUUUUAAGUACAGUCGUAAAACAUUAAACACAGAUGCUUGUGGUCCUAGAAUUUUUUUUACCUCCAUACAUGUCAGGAACAUGCUGUCGUCUCCUCAAAUAAAGUUCUACCAAUCAUAUAUUGAUAAUUAAGAAGAAGCUUUAUGUUGGCAAAACCCAAAAUCACCUUCAGUAAACAGAUAAGGAACUAAAAACAUUAUUUAUGUUGUUAUUUUUGUAUUAUUUAUUUACAGAUCACAUGUGACAGAUGCAACUGGUGGAACCACCAAGGCUGCAUUAAGGUCCCACAAACCGACACAGACUACUGCUGUGCAAUGUGUUUAUAGAUUUUAUGUUUGUACCAAUCUAAUUCGUUAAUGACUGCAGUUCUGUGGAUUUUCAGUUUAAACAUGUGACAUAAUUUUUGUUGACUUAAUUGGUUUUCCAAAAAUUUUUGU